GUGAUUUUUCUUUCCCUAGCCAUACAUGUAUCCACCCCAAUUUUCCUCUUCUCUUAUCUUCUUUUGUGCCCCAAAAUUCUUCUCACUUUUCUUAUUUUCUUGGCUGCAUCUGAAGUCCAGCAGCUCCUUUUCUUCUUUCUCUAUUCCUCUUUUUUCUUCUUGUUUUCUUUCUUCUCCCCUUCUUAUAUGGCAACCCUCCCUCUCUCACCAAAACAAAAUAUCCCUCUCUAAAGAAGAAAUUAAAGGGUUAACACUAAAAUUUCAGCUUCAAAUUGUGGGGGGUGGCGAGAACGAGAACACGGACACUUAAGCUCCUCGUGUACAAUCUCUCGCGCCUUCUGUUUUCAAUGCACAGGUUCUUCCUGGAAGCAGCGAGAGUAUUAGAGGUGACAAGGAUUCUGUGUUUUCUCGUUUGUUAGAAUGUAGAGUUUUGUUGUAUAGCAGUUAGCUCUUUUGUUGUAUAAGAGUAAUCAAGAUGUACUUGAUCCUUUGAGCACAGAUGUAAUUCGGUACCUUAGUUUGUUUUGAACCCCAAUUGUAUGUCUUUGGGGUUAGGUUUGUAAUAAGAGUUUUGCUAAACGUUUAGCUAUGUAAUAUUUACACGGAUACCUUAAGUU